rnacentral:rRNA from 1 species
ACGUAGGUGGCAAGCGUUACUCGGAAUCACUAGGCGUAAAGCGCAGGUAGGAGGUUUGGUAAGUCUGUUGUGAAAGCUCCCGGCUUAACUGGGAGAGGUCAACGGAAACUACUAGGCUAGAGUGCGGUAGAGGUAGCUGGAAUUCCCGGUGUAGCGGUGAAAUGCGUAGAUAUCGGGAGGAAUACCUAUGGCGAAAGCAGGCUACUGGACCGUCACUGACUCUGAUCUGCGAAAGCUAGGGGAGCAAACAGG